ACAAGCGGUGGAUGAUGUGGAUUAAUUCGAUGCAACGCGAAAAACCUUACCUACCCUUGACAUGUCCAGAACCCUGCAGAGAUGCGGGGAUGCCCGAAAGGGAAUUGGAACACAGGUGCUGCAUGGCUGUCGUCAGCUCGUGUCGUGAGAUGUUGGGUUAAGUCCCGCAACGAGCGCAACCCUUAUCAUUAGUUGCUACGCAAGGGCACUCUAAUGAGACUGCCGGUGACAAACCGGAGGAAGGUGGGGAUGACGUCAAGUCCUCAUGGCCCUUAUGGGUAGGGCUUCACACGUCAUACAAUGGUCGGUACAGAGGGUUGCCAAGCCGCGAGGUGGAGCCAAUCCCAGAAAGCCGAUCGUAGUCCGGAUUGUUCUCUGCAACUCGAGAGCAUGAAGUCGGAAUCGCUAGUAAUCGCGGAUCAGCAUGUCGCGGUGAAUACGUUCCCGGGUCUU
rnacentral:rRNA from 1 species